GUUUCUCUCUUGCAGAAGACGAUACAGACGAGUAAGAAGAUCACUAUUUUCAAGCAAUUCAAAGAAAAUGUCAUGGGACCCAUAUUAAAGGUGGAGAGGUGGGGGUGAAGCAAGUGGCAGUUGCAUAUGAACAGGACCCCCUGCCAUGAGGCUGACACUAAGGAUCCUGGAGGAGGAGUCAGAGAGGAGUCUGAUGAAGGACAAGGAAGGGAACAGAGAAGGACAAGAGAGUAAAGGGACUGGGCUACGGCUGGAGUUAGUGGGACAGGGGGACAAGGGCCAGAACCUGGACAUCCAGGAGCCCCUCCUGCCAGAAGUCCUUCUCCUUCUGAACACUGGGGGGCAUCAUAACUCUAUUAGGGCUUCUCUCCCAACACAGUGCGGCAAAUCAAGGGCAGAAAUAAAUGUGGACUUGGUGGCCAGUGAAGUGACUUACAGCUUUAUAUCCCGGCCCAGCCAACGACUGACCAGUAUAGAGACUGAUACUGAUCUCCUUAAUGUUAAUGUCGAACUGGACUUCCCAGAAAAUAACAGAGAACUUUCCUUACUGCUCCUGGGCAAGGGUGCACAACCAAUCAGCAGGCAGAAUGGGAUGCUAGCCUUUUUAUUGGCUGGCUAUGGUUUGUCACCUUAGCAACCAGCUUAGGUUUAAAUGCCAGAGUUCAGUCCCCUGACCUCUCUCAGUCCUGGUACCCCGACUUGUAUUCCCGACUUUUUUGUAUUUAAUUUGCUCUCUCCCCGACUUGUUUCCUGGCUUUGUGCCCCCCUCUGCAUUUGGAAGCUGGAUUUACUCCCAUUGGUUUAGAUCAGAAAUGACCUUGGCCAAUUGCAACUCAUCCUGCUGGGAGUUCUGGAUUCAGUUUCCACAUUUACCCAAACAGAACAUUCCAGGAGUCACAAUGGAGCUGCUUGUUGCAGGGGAUGUUGGGAGUUGUAGUCGCACAAGAGGGGUACAGACUGGACAGUGUGAUGCUGAUAAGUAUAAAUCUAUAUCUGUAUAA